GGCGCCGUGCUGGGGACCCGCGCCCCUGCGCGCACUUGAAGCGCAGCGCGGCCGCGGAUUGGCGCGCGUGGGGGGGCCCGGGGAGGGGCGCAGGCCUGGCCAUUGGUCGCAGGGCGCACCUGUCACCGUCGCGGCCGCCCGCCGCCCCGCCCCUGCGCCGCGGGGUCCUAAACAGCCCGGGGUGUCGAGCUGGGGUGGCAGGGAGGGGACAGCUACCAGGGUUGGAAAGCUGUGAGGAGCAACCUAGGGUCUCUGCUCACUUUCCUUGGGGUGCUGAGCAGGGCGGCAGGCACUGGCGACCCCGGGUGACCGGGGGUGGCCCCCAUGGCUGCCAAACUCCAGACUCCCAGACACUGGUUCCCGCUCUGAGCCCGUGUCCCCCAGGGCCAGCAGAGCGCGUCCUCUCCCGCCGCCUCACCAGCGGGAGAGUUCGUCCACUUCUGCAUUGGGGCACCCAUGCUGCUUCCAGCGCCAGCCGCCCUGCCCAGUGGUUGCAGCGCAGAGAAGACCGACACCGGCCCCCAGGCCUCGCUCCCAGGUCUCCGCGGCGCGCAGGAGCGGUUCGUGUCUGUCGCCAGCCCUCUGCAGGUGGAACCUUCCCACCUCUUCUGGAGAGUGCUAUGCGCUUCAAGGGUCGUGUGUGGGGCUCGUUCUUGCGCGUGUGCGCGCCAGUUUGCGGUCCACAGAGGUCGCCACGGCCCCCGCCCGGCCCCAGCGCCGAGGGCAGCGUCUGCGUGCCUGCGGCCUGCAGACUGGGGCGGCCUGGAGACCAGUCUGCCUCGCGUGCAGCAGGUCCGCGGUGGCAGCCCUUUCUUUCUCUCUGCCAGGGAUCCCCUUGGGCUCACAGGACACUGUGCCCGCCUCCACCUCCGGGGCAGGCGUUGCCCCGAGGCUGGCCGCACUGACCCAGUUCGGACGACGCUGUGGGUGCCCCACUCCGGCCUGCAGCGCCCAGGAAAAUCGGCCGGAAGGCUGAGUAAGGUAGUGGCGUGAGAAUCCAGGCCCGUCUCUCCCACCCAUCCCCCAUGCCUCAAAUAUUCACAGUAAAAACACUUACAAGGGCUUUUCUACUCGGAGAGAGUCACCGCACAGGUAACCCCAACACCAGUCUUCUUCGUCAGUAGCGCCAUUAGAGCUCGUUACUUCCCCGGACAGGUGUGGGAAGGUGGGGGGUGGAGGAAGAGGGUAGUUUCAGGUUCUAGAAGCCCGGCUUCUCCCGCAGCCGAGAGGCCAACACAGGGCAGGCAGGGGCCUGGGGAGGGGCGGAGGGCGGGACACACUCGCGCCAGGAACGCUCUGAAAUUAGCAGGUUCGGUUGCCACGGGAGGGAGUUUUUCCCAAAGGUAAAUACUGUGUAGGGACCGUGUCGUUUUUCCUCAAAAGGCCUUUUACCUCUGUGAGAGUUGGUUGCAGGGGGUCUGUUGUGGGGUCGCGUUUCUUUGUCCUUGCCACCGGGUAGUUCCGGGAGACGCACAGGAGUAGCCGGAGACUGGGAGGGCGCCCUGGGCCACCUCGACCUGUAGUGAAUGUUCGGCAGCCUUGCAAAACCCAGCAUCGACUGGCAAGUAGGAAGGACCUCAUUUACAGGGGGGUGGUUCUGCCUUCCGGUGACAUCUUUCUGAGGAAAUAAAAAUGCAGCCCUGCUUCUAAGUAGCAAGCAGGGGACACACCCAUGUCCAUGUGCCCGUGAGCUUUCUAGAAUUAUCUCCCUCAACCUCCAUUUUAUAAAGGGCAGGGUCAGCGAGGUUGAGACUGUUCUCCCCAGCUAACUGUUCAGCCGCAGAACUGGGACUGACCAGAUGUGGCUGCCGGGGCCACCCCCUCCCUCCUCAGCCCUCCAGUGUCCCACCCCUGUGUCCCCUUUGCCCCUGCCUGGUGCCCCGGGGGAAGGGGGGCUGUGCAGAGGCCUGAGGUGCUGAGAGCUACCUGUUCUGGGCAGAAAACCCUUCACCCUUCUCAGAAGGGAGUCAUGGGUGUCAUCUGCCUCCCUAAGAUAGAGAGCAAUUGUGACCGUCCCCCGCCUCCUCCCACACACACGGAGGGCUGAGCUCCUAGGCUGACAGGCCUUUCUGGGUCUCGUCACCUCUCCCUCUGUCUGUCUGCUGGGACAGGUAGCUGGUCCCGAGGGUUCCCACCCAUCGACUAGACCGGGGAGGCUGGGGGCGAGAGUGACUGCCACCUGAAUUCCCUGGGAUCAGCUGGAUGCCCUCUCUCCCACCCAGAACAGCCACUGCCAGGGCCCCAGGGCCCUUUCAGCUGGGGACCAGUCAGCAGGCUAGACUUACCAAACACCCCCUUCCCUCAACAACAACCUUGUGUUUUGUAAGUCCCAGAGGGCUUCCUCCACGGCCCACAGUAAGUGUGCUGUCAAAUUACAAAAAAACCUACCUCCCCCGUGUGCCCCCUCCCCAGUCAAGCUUCGAGCACUUCCUGGUGCACAGGCCGAAAGCCCGGGCCCAGGUUCACCUGGUUUAGCCCCCACCCGCACCAGCGGGGCCCAGGGAGGUGACCGCAGAGGCCCACGACUGCCGGUCCUGGCUGCCCCUCCAACUGCAGUGCCUCCCCGGAUGUCCACACUCCUGUAUUUUGGUGAAUUUCUAUUUCUUUGUCUAGAAAAGCCCGCAUUAGACCCAAUGGACUCCAUGGCACUAAAGGGCUUUCCAGGGACCACGGACAUGUUAAGAAUGAGUGGACACACGUUAGAGAUGCACGUGUUUGUUAAAAGGUCAGGGGAAUGUGCUGCCACAUCCAAAUGCCCCAAAUCCAUCACCCCGAGGGCCUCCUGUGUUUGGAAACUUCUUCCAGAUAAACGCACGGAGGGGUAUGCUGACGGGUUCAGAGGUCCCUCCUGUCGUGGGAAACAAGGUUUAUAACGCCCGCCCAGGGGCGGCUUUUUCAGCAGCUGCAACCCGAGGACCCUCUCGGAACCAGCGGUUCCCGGACGCGCUUUCUAAGGGCUGCAAGUAGCUGUUCAGGUGGCGUCUGCCCCAGGCCGUGCGGGCGCCUUCUCGGUCCCCCGCCCCCAGCCCAGGCAGCGGGCGGCGAGGGUCACCCGGCCGCCGACCCCAGCCGGGGCGCGUCCUCGAGGAAGAGACACAAAUAACAACAGACACGGCGCAGACGCCUCAGCGCUUCGCCGCGUGAACUUUUUAGUGCCUUCGGACGCGAAAUUAUGGCUGAAUAGUCGCGCUAAUGUACAACUCCACGGCGGGUAAUGGCAGGAAGUCGUCACUAAUUGGUCUAUUUAGCAGUUGCUGAGGUGGCAGAAGCUGUGGCUGCCGGCGGGAGGGGGAGGGGAGGGGGAGAGAGAGAGACAGAGAGCGAGCAGAGGAGUGAGCCCGCGUCUCCUCCGCAGAUGGGCAAAUGGUGCCUUCGGUCAAGUUCACCUCCUUCAACCCUGCCCCCGCCUCUUCCCACAGGUGUGCGUUCCAGGCCCAGGGACAGAGCUCAGGCCUGGGGCGGACUUGGGGCUGGGGUCCUGUGUGCAAAUCUUGGCUGUUUUGCUGGGGCCCUUGUUCCCUCUGGGGGGGGGGGGGUCUGCGGGGAGAGGGCAGCAGGUGCGUUAGGAGCCCCGCCCACCCUGCCAUUUGAAUGGGGGCUCCUUCCUCCCAGAGGAAUCGGAGACCCUGCAUGCCCACGCUGACAUGCACAGCGGCCCCAGCGCCCCCCAGGAUGUCCCAAGCUGGUCACCGUGUUUGGUGGCCCUUCCGUGCAGCGGCCCUGAUGGCUGUGAGAAGCAUGCUGGUCUCCCCUCUGGCAGAAGGACACACUUGGGCCCUGAGGAGCCAAGGCGCUGUGCCUCCCAACCCUCGGCCGAAGGCCCCUCUCUGACUUAGGUCUGCCACUAAGUCCCGGUCCCCUCCACGUUCUCUGAGCCUGCUGGGUUCCUCCCCCGGAGCUGCAGGUGGCGGGCAGGUGGGCUGCGUGACGGCUGCGUCCAGGGCUCCCUCUUCCUGCACACCGUCCCUCCCAAGUUGGGGGCUGAG